UAGGGCUUCUACAAGGGAGGAAAAUUCGUCUUCAGUUUUAAGGUCGGCCAGGGCUACCCCCACGACCCGCCGAAGGUGAAGUGUGAGACGAUGGUCUAUCACCCCAACAUCGACCUGGAGGGCAACGUCUGCCUCAACAUCCUCAGAGAGGACUGGAAGCCCGUCCUGAC